GACAGAGGGUGCAAACGUUGUUCGGCAUUACUGGGCGUAAAGGGCGCGUAGGCGGCUUGACAAGUCACUUGUGAAAUCUCCGGGCUUAACUCGGAACGGCCAAGUGAAACUGUCAUGCUAGAGUGCAGAAGGGGCAAUCGGAAUUCUUGGUGUAGCGGUGAAAUGCGUAGAUAUCAAGAGGAACACCUGAGGUGAAGACGGGUUGCUGGGCUGACACUGACGCUGAGGCGCGAAAGCCAGGGGAGCAAACGGG
rnacentral:rRNA from 1 species